rnacentral:rRNA from 1 species
GACGAACGCUGGCGGCGUGCCUAAUACAUGCAAGUAGAACGCUGAAGGUGGAGCUUGCUUCUCUGGAUGAGUUGCGAACGGGUGAGUAACGCGUAGGUAACCUGCCUGGUAGCGGGGGAUAACUAUUGGUAACGAUAGCUAAUACCGCAUAAUAGUAGAUGUUGCAUGACAUUUGCUUAAAAGGUGCAAUUGCAUCACUACCAGAUGGACCUGCGUUGUAUUAGCUAGUUGGUGGGGUAACGGCUCACCAAGGCGACGAUACAUAGCCGACCUGGGAGGGGGGUCGGCCACACUGGGACUGAGACAACGCCCAGACUCCUACGGGAGGGAGCAGUAGGGGAUCUUCGGCAAUUGACGGAAGUCUUACCGAGCAACGCCGCGUGAGUGAAGGAGGUUUUCGGAUCGUAAAGGUCUGUUGUAAGAGAAGAACGAGAGUGAGAUUGGAAAGUUCACACUGUGACGUUAUCUUACCAGAAAGGGACGGCUAACUACGUG